GGUACAUGGUGAUACAUGUCUGCAAUCCCUGCUUCUGGGGAAGCUGAGGUAGGUGGGUCACUCGAGCUCAGGCAUUCGGUGCUAUAAUGGGCUUCUGCCCAAAGGGCAUUUGCACUGUCUAGUACCAAUAUGGUGAAUUCCUGGAGUGAAGGGGCUAGCAGGCUGUCUAAGGAAGGGUCAGCAAGCCCAGAUGGGAAACUGAGCAGGUCAAAGCUUAUGUGCUGAUCAGCAGUGGGGUCUGGCCUGUGAGUGGUCACUGCAUUAUCAGCCUGGGUGAGACAGGGAGAUCCAGUCGU
rnacentral:SRP_RNA from 1 species